rnacentral:rRNA from 1 species
GUGCCAGCCGCCGCGGUAAUACGUAGGGGGCAAGCGUUGUCCGGAUUUAUUGGGCGUAAAGAGCGUGUAGGCGGCUUGGUAGGUCCGCUGUGAAAACUCGAGGCUCAACCUCGAGAUGUCGGCGGAAACCACUUGGCUAGAGUCCGGAAGAGGAGAGUGGAAUUCCCGGUGUAGCGGUGAAAUGCGCAGAUAUCGGGAAGAACACCUAUGGCGAAGGCAGCUCUCUGGGACGGUACUGACGCUGAGACGCGAAAGCGUGGGGAGCGAACAGGAUUAGAUACCCUGGUAGUCC